rnacentral:lncRNA from 1 species
GAAGAGUCUGCACCAUGCCCAGGACAUCUUCACGUACCUGUUCAGCCUCUCAGCUUCUGCAACAAUGAGUCUGCUCCAUAUCUCAGCAUCUAGACCCGAGAGUACCAGGACAUCAGGUUGGCUGCAGGAUUUUCAGGACCAAGAUAAACCCAAAAGGCUGACCCUUGGUUUACAACUAGUCAUUAGUCCAAGAUGGCAACAGUGGGUCACUGUGGUUGCAGUGGCACCAUGAAGCUGGCUCCUUCUGUGCUCUUGGUGUUGGAAGGGGCACCGUCUGCUCACAGGAGUCCUUGUGAGCUGGCACAGGAAUUGGCAC